CAGGAAAGUGCUGACUCCAUAGACUUCCCAAUUGCUGGGUGUCUCGUCCAACACCUCAUUGAAGUUGAUUGGUCAGCCAGAGAGACAAAAGGCAGAGAGAUCUGGAGCCUUCAAUAAAUCCUGCAGUGAGGUACUCAGGAAAGUCCUGACUCAAUAGCCUUCCCAGCUGCGGGGUGGAUUAUCCAUCACCACAUUGAACGCAGUUGGUCUGCCAGAGGGAGACAAAGGGAAAGGAGAUCUGGAGCCUUCAAUAAAUCCUGUAGUGAGGUAUUCCUGAUGUCCCUGACUCAGCACAAUUCCCAAUUCCUGUCUCGUCCAUCACCACAUUGAAGACGGUU